CAAAGUUGACACUUCACAAUAGUUGAAAAGUGUCAAUCAAUCAAUGUUACUAAACUAAAAUAAAAUACUGAAAACAUGGGAAAGCAAUUUGGAAAUUUGGCUUUUAUACGAGGAAUACUUUAUUUUCGACUAUCACCUUAUGAACAAAGAGCGUACGCUGGAGUCUUAACUAAAGGAUUACCAAACUUGGUUCCGAGGACGUUGAUGACUUUACCCUUUUGGAUGCCACCGUUUGCUUUUGGUGCAUUAAUAUACUUCUACGUGGACGAUUUACAUCGUCGGUCGAAACGCAAAAAUCCAAAAGAUUACAUCGACGAGGUGAACCCCAACCCGCCGCCGCCGCCGCCUCCGCCACCCGUUACCAAAUGCUAACUAUUCGCUGCAUAAAUGUUAUUUAUGAUGUUAAUAUAUUAGAUAUUAAAAAAUA